rnacentral:misc_RNA from 1 species
AAAGUCGUAACAAGGUAACCGUAGGUGAACCUGCGGUUGGAUCAUUUAAAAGAUCAACCAACAAUAUCAGCUCUAACCCGGCUGGUCACACACUUGUGCACCGUUUAAUGUCUUUGGUGGGGGAGUGGCAUCCACGUCUUGGCCGGAUCUCGGUCGAGGCUUGGGCAACAAAUGUUUCACUCGUCAGCGUUCCCUUUAGGGGAGCGCCGUGGACAUCCCAUCGUUUUUAUCCAACCUCUGAUUUGUUUAAUCUGUCUGAACGUAUUAUUUUGCUUUCCGCAAAAUGCAAUAUACAAAACAACUUUUGGCAACGGAUCUCUUGGCUCUC